UCUCUCACAGGAUGUAGAAAGGUAUCAAAAGCCAAAAAACAUUCUAUGUAGCUAUUUUAUAUUUUCUAAUCACAAUAACAUUUAGCUAACAUGAACUUAAACUGUAAAUUUCAAAGUUACAUAUUAUGUAUAGCUUACAUAUUUCAUAGGAUGCUUAUCCUCAACUUUGGAUACAUCUUAUCUGAAGAAUGUGUUCUCCCCAGAAAAAUACGUAGCAUGUCUAAUUCUGUGCCAAAUACUAUAUAUGUGUAAGUUCCACAAAGCAAAAAUAUCAAGUAUUUCUCAAGAGACAUUUACAUCUAAAAAUACUGUUUUAAUUCUGAAUUGAUUGCCCUGAAAGCAUGUGUAAUUUGCCUUAAAUAUUAGGUAGGUUAGAGAAAGUCUUUAAGCAGGGACUGAUCUUUGUGCUUGUUUGUUCUCAUGACUGACAUGACCUGGAACUUGUAAAAACUCAGAAUAUUCUUUAUUUGCAUGUAUUUUGUAAUAAAAGUAUUAUUUAUCUUGCCUAUUAUGUAAUAAAACCAUGACUAAUAAUGUAUGAAGAAUGAGAGAACAGUUUGGUGUUAAGGUAAAGAAUUACUGUCCACUGUAUAUUUCAGAGCCUAUAAUGCCAUUCAUAAGUUGCAGAACUCAACUGUCUAGGUGAGUUUAGUGUAUUUCUAGAAUAGUUUAUCUUAAAAUAUUCUUCAUGGUGAACAAUCAGC
rnacentral:lncRNA from 1 species